AGAGAGAGACAUGCGCGCAUAUCAAUAAGCGGAGGAAAAGAAACUAACAAGGAUUCCCUUAGUAACGGCGAGUGAAGCGGGAAGAGCUCAAAUUUGAAAUCUUCAAGGUUUUACCUUGACGAAUUGUAGUUUAAAGAAGUGUUUUCUGCUGAAGUUUUGGUAAAAGUUCUUUGGAAUAGGACAUCAUAGAGGGUGAGAAUCCCGUAUUUGACCAUUAUUUUCAGCUUUGUGAUACACUUUCAAAGAGUCGGAUUGUUUGGGAAUGCAGUCCAAAAUGGGUGGUAAAUUUCAUCUAAAGCUAAAUAUUGGCGAGAGACCGAUAGCGAACAAGUACCGUGAGGGAAAGAUGAAAAGAACUUUGAAAAGAGAGUUAAACAGUACGUGAAAUUGUCAAAAGGGAAGCGUUUGACACCAGUGUUGUUUUCUCGAAAAUCAAUUAAAAAUGGCUCGAUUUUGUAUUGCUGAGACCUUAAAAGCUCACUGUACAUUUUUCGUGUCUUUUUUAAUGCACUUUUUCGUUUAACAAGUCAACAUCAGUUUCUUUUGUUGUAAAAGGGUCAUUGGAAGGUGGCCUUCUUUUCGGAGAAAGUGUUUAUAGCCUUUGGCCUCUGCAAUCGGAAGAGACUGAGGUCUGCAGCGUAGACUCUUCGGGGUUAGAUACAUUUGUGCUAAGUUAUAGCUUUUUAUAGACAACUUGUUGACUAUAAUUAGUCUUGCUAGCUUACCUCGCUUAUGCUAUUUUACCUACGCUUAGGAUGUUGAAGUCAUCGUAUCGCGC
rnacentral:rRNA from 1 species